CACUAUCGUUAACUGAAUACAUAGGUUAACGAGGCGAACCGGGGGAACUGAAACAUCUAAGUACCCCGAGGAAAAGAAAUCAACCGAGAUUCCCCCAGUAGCGGCGAGCGAACGGGGAGCAGCCCAGAGUCUGAAUCAGCUUGUGUGUUAGUGGAACGGUCUGGAAAGUCCGACGGUACAGGGUGAUAGUCCCGUACACCAAAAUGCACAGGUUGUGAACUCGAAGAGUAGGGCGGGACACGUGGUAUCCUGUCUGAAUAUGGGGGGACCAUCCUCCAAGGCUAAAUACUCCUGACUGACCGAUAGUGAACCAGUACCGUGAGGGAAAGGCGAAAAGAACCCCGGCGAGGGGAGUGAAAAAGAACCUGAAACCGUGUACGUACAAGCAGUGGGAGCACCUUCGGGUGUGACUGCGUACCUUUUGUAUAAUGGGUCAGCGACUUAUAUUCUGUAGCAAGGUUAACCGUAUAGGGGAGCCGCAGGGAAACCGAGUCUUAACUGGGCGUUAAGUUGCAGGGUAUAGACCCGAAACCCGGUGAUCUAGCCAUGGGCAGGUUGAAGGUUGGGUAACACUAACUGGAGGACCGAACCGACUAAUGUUGAAAAAUUAGCGGAUGACUUGUGGCUGGGGGUGAAAGGCCAAUCAAACCGGGAGAUAGCUGGUUCUCCCCGAAAGCUAUUUAGGUAGCGCCUCGUGAACUCAUCUUCGGGGGUAGAGCACUGUUUCGGCUAGGGGGUCAUCCCGACUUACCAACCCGAUGCAAACUACGAAUACCGAAGAAUGUUAUCACGGGAGACACACGGCGGGUGCUAACGUCCGUCGUGAAGAGGGAAACAACCCAGACCGCCAGCUAAGGUCCCAAAGUCAUGGUUAAGUGGGAAACGAUGUGGGAAGGCACAGACAGCCAGGAUGUUGGCUUAGAAGCAGCCAUCAUUUAAAGAAAGCGUAAUAGCUCACUGGUCGAGUCGGCCUGCGCGGAAGAUGUAACGGGGCUAAACCAUGCACCGAAGCUGCGGCAGCGACACUAUGUGUUGUUGGGUAGGGGAGCGUUCUGUAAGCCUGCGAAGGUGUGCUGUGAGGCAUGCUGGAGGUAUCAGAAGUGCGAAUGCUGACAUAAGUAACGAUAAAGCGGGUGAAAAGCCCGCUCGCCGGAAGACCAAGGGUUCCUGUCCAACGUUAAUCGGGGCAGGGUGAGUCGACCCCUAAGGCGAGGCCGAAAGGCGUAGUCGAUGGGAAACAGGUUAAUAUUCCUGUACUUGGUGUUACUGCGAAGGGGGGACGGAGAAGGCUAUGUUAGCCGGGCGACGGUUGUCCCGGUUUAAGCAUGUAGGCUGGUUGUCCAGGCAAAUCCGGAUAAUCAAGGCUGAGGUGUGAUGACGAGGCACUACGGUGCUGAAGUAACAAAUGCCCUGCUUCCAGGAAAAGCCUCUAAGCAUCAGGUAACAUCAAAUCGUACCCCAAACCGACACAGGUGGUCAGGUAGAGAAUACCAAGGCGCUUGAGAGAACUCGGGUGAAGGAACUAGGCAAAAUGGUGCCGUAACUUCGGGAGAAGGCACGCUGGUGUGUAGGUGAAGUCCCUGCGGAUGGAGCUGAGACCAGUCGAAGAUACCAGCUGGCUGCAACUGUUUAUUAAAAACACAGCACUGUGCAAACACGAAAGUGGACGUAUACGGUGUGACGCCUGCCCGGUGCCGGAAGGUUAAUUGAUGGGGUUAUCCGUAAGGAGAAGCUCUUGAUCGAAGCCCCGGUAAACGGCGGCCGUAACUAUAACGGUCCUAAGGUAGCGAAAUUCCUUGUCGGGUAAGUUCCGACCUGCACGAAUGGCGUAAUGAUGGCCAGGCUGUCUCCACCCGAGACUCAGUGAAAUUGAACUCGCUGUGAAGAUGCAGUGUACCCGCGGCAAGACGGAAAGACCCCGUGAACCUUUACUAUAGCUUGACACUGAACAUUGAGCCUUGAUGUGUAGGAUAGGUGGGAGGCUUUGAAGCGUGGACGCCAGUCUGCGUGGAGCCAACCUUGAAAUACCACCCUUUAAUGUUUGAUGUUCUAACGUUGGCCCCUGACCGGGGUUGCGGACAGUGUCUGGUGGGUAGUUUGACUGGGGCGGUCUCCUCCCAAAGCGUAACGGAGGAGCACGAAGGUUAGCUAAUCCUGGUCGGACAUCAGGAGGUUAGUGCAAUGGCAUAAGCUAGCUUGACUGCGAGCGUGACGGCGCGAGCAGGUGCGAAAGCAGGUCAUAGUGAUCCGGUGGUUCUGAAUGGAAGGGCCAUCGCUCAACGGAUAAAAGGUACUCCGGGGAUAACAGGCUGAUACCGCCCAAGAGUUCAUAUCGACGGCGGUGUUUGGCACCUCGAUGUCGGCUCAUCACAUCCUGGGGCUGAAGUAGGUCCCAAGGGUAUGGCUGUUCGCCAUUUAAAGUGGUACGCGAGCUGGGUUUAGAACGUCGUGAGACAGUUCGGUCCCUAUCUGCCGUGGGCGCUGGAGAAUUGAGGGGGGCUGCUCCUAGUACGAGAGGACCGGAGUGGACGCAUCACUGGUGUUCGGGUUGUCAUGCCAAUGGCACUGCCCGGUAGCUAAAUGCGGAAGAGAUAAGUGCUGAAAGCAUCUAAGCACGAAACUUGCCCCGAGAUGAGUUCUCCCUGAGACUUUAAGUCUCCUGAAGGAACGUUAAAGACGAUGACGUUGAUAGGCCGGGUGUGUAAGCGCAGCGAUGCGUUGAGCUAACCGGUACUAAUGAACCGUGAGGCUUAACCUUACAACGCCGAAG
rnacentral:rRNA from 1 species